rnacentral:rRNA from 1 species
CCCUGCCCUUUGUACACACCGCCCGUCGCUACUACCGAUUGAAUGGCUCAGUGAGGCUUUGGGACUGGCUCAGGAAGGUCGGCAACGACCAUCCAGAGCCGGAAACUUAGUCAAACUUGGUCAUUUAGAGG